AAAAUGAGAUUUUCUACAAAUUAAAGGGUACCGGAGCAAUUUUUUGUGUCUAUUUUAAAAACUUAUAAAAAUUGGGGGUUCUUUUGUAACAAAUAAAACAUGAAACCAAAUAUAAUUAGGGUUUUAUAUCAUUCGAUCAUCUCUUUCCAGUAUCUCCUUCAAGAAAUUCUCCAAGACUGAGUCCAGAAAUAGGGUUCGAUUGAAGAACCAAUUAGAAUUAGGGUUCUAUGUCUAUUCGAUUAUCUCCUUCCAGAAAUACUCCCAAGAGAGUCUGAAGAACACUUCGAAGGUGCGAUUGAAAGGUUCAAUCGAAGGUGCUCCUGAUUGCUUCUCUCCUUCGAAGGUGCGAUUGAAGAGCAAACAAAUGAACAAAGAAGACAAAUGAACAGAGAUAUCUGGGGUUCUCUGUAAUCAUCUUAAAA